GACGAACGCUGGCGGCGUGCUUAACACAUGCAAGUCGGGCGGUAAGGCCCUUUCGGGGGUACACGAGCGGCGAACGGGUGAGUAACACGUGGGUGACCUGCCCUUAGCUCUGGGAUAAGCCUGGGAAACUGGGUCUAAUACCGGAUAUGACUCCAUAACGCAUGUUGUGGGGUGGAAAGCCUUGUGCGGCUAGGGAUGGGCCCGCGGCCUAUCAGCUUGUUGGUGGGGUGAUGGCCUACCGAAGGCGACGACGGGUAGCCGGCCUGAGAGGGCGACCGGCCACACUGGGACUGAGACACGGCCCAGACUCCUACGGGAGGCAGCAGUGGGGAAUCUUGCGCAAUGGGCGAAAGCCUGACGCAGCGACGCCGCGUGGGGAUGAC
rnacentral:rRNA from 1 species